GGGGGGCGGGUGCCCAUCGGAUGCCCUCCUGGAGCGGAAUCCCCAGGAAUAAAAACCCAUCCUGGAAGGCUGCCCGACACCCUUUUUGGGGAAGGAGGUGGGACCGGACGCCAGGCAGGCAGUGCUGGCCAAGGUCAGAUGGAGUUUGCCUGUGAAUCCUCCACGAGGCUGGCCUGACGGAGCAGCGACCCCCACCUCAGCUCUCCAGCGACGUCUGAGUUCCUGCUGCCGUGACCUGAGUACCAGAGUUUGUUCAACAAAUGGGGACCAGAUGGAUGAUCUUCCCGAUGGGACUCAGGAGGGAGCAUUAUCUCCAGGUCAUACAGACCUCCUAAAUCACCUCCACCUUCCUGUAGCCUGGCCGGAAAGUCUACCCCUGGGCACUUUCUCUCGUUGGCUGAGCCCAGGGUUAAUUCCACACGUCCACAUUCAUUCUUGGGGGUUGUCUUUUCUGCAGGCCCCUUGCUUGAAAAUAGAAACACCCCUGGAAAGAA